CGAACGGGUGAGUAAUGCAUAGGAAUCUGCCCAGUAUGGGGGACAACUUCGGGAAACCGGAGCUAAUACCGCAUACGUCCUACGGGAGAAAGCGGGGGAUCUUCGGACCUCGCGCUAUUGGAUGAGCCUAUGUCCGAUUAGCUUGUUGGUGGGGUAAUGGCCUACCAAGGCGACGAUCGGUAGCUGGUCUGAGAGGACGAUCAGCCACACUGGGACUGAGACACGGCCCAG
rnacentral:rRNA from 1 species